CUUGGCCUACGGGGGGCAGCAGUGGGGGAUAUUGCACAAUGGGGGAAACCCUGAUGCAGCAACGCCGCGUGAGUGGCGAAGGUCUUCGGAUUGUAAAACUCUGUUCUUGGUGAAGAUAAUGACGGUAGCCAAGGAGAAAGCUCCGGCUAACUACGUGCCAGCAGCCGCGGUAAUACGUAGGAAGCGAGCGUUGUCCGGAAUUACUGGGUGUAAAGGGUGCGUAGGCGGCCUUGCAAGUCAGGCGUGAACACCAUGGGCUCAACCCGUGGCCUGCGUUUGAAACUGUGAGGCUUGA
rnacentral:rRNA from 1 species